AUGAUCUUUAUAAAGAGAUUUCUGGAGGAGUUGGAGAUCGCAACAAGUAAUGCACCAAGUGUGCUGCCGGGCCGCCACUUGGUACAGAAGCCACGAGUGUGGUUGCCACCAACAGGAGAAGAAGCAGUAAAGAUAAACUGUGACGGAGCCAUCUCUACUCUUGGUGAGAAAGGAGCAGCAGCUGUUGUGUGCAGGGACAGAUCAGGUAAAUAUCUAGGGGCAUCGGCUGUGGUCUUUGACGGCUUGCUCGACCCGCCAAGCUUAGAGGCGCAAGCGUGA
rnacentral:rRNA from 1 species